UACCGCGGUUAUACGAUGGGCCCAAGUCGAGAGGAUUCGGCGUAAAGGGUGGAUAAAGAAAGGAUACAACUAAAGUCGAAGCCUUCCCUGGCUGUUAUACGCAUUCGGGGGGAAGAAGCCCAAUCACGAAAGUGGCUUUAAGUCAGCUUGACUCCACGAGAGCUGGGGAA
rnacentral:rRNA from 1 species